UAGUCCACGCCGUAAACGAUGAUCACUCGUUGUCUGCGAUAUAUUGUAGGCGACUGAGCGAAAGCAUUAAGUGAUCCACCUGGGGAGUACGUUGGCAACAAUGAAACUCAAAGGAAUUGACGGGGGCCCGCACAAGCGGAGGAACAUGUGGUUUAAUUCGAUGAUACGCGAGGAACCUUACCUGGGUUUAAAUGUAGAUUGCAUGAACGGGAAACUGUUCUUUCCUUCGGGACUAUUUACAAGGUGCUGCAUGGUUGUCGUCAGCUCGUGCCGUGAGGUGUCGGGUUAAGUCCCAUAACGAGCGCAACCCCUAUCGUUAGUUGCCAGCAAGUAAAGUUGGGGACUCUAACGAGACUGCCGGUGUAAACCGAGAGGAAGGUGGGGAUGACGUCAAAUCAGCACGGGCCCUUA
rnacentral:rRNA from 1 species